rnacentral:lncRNA from 1 species
UUUACAUGUGUGCGGUGCCUUUUGGAAAGCCCUUAAGGAUGGGGGGCGCUGUUUGCCAGGGGAAACAAUCAUGAGAUUAGAGAGUUGAAUUUGGGCCCCACACCCAAACCUGGCCUCUGGGGAGGAGGAGAGGGCCUACAGGUUGAGUUGAUCACCAUUGGCCAAUGAUUUAAUCCAUCAUGCCUGCAUAAUGACCCAUCCAUAAAACCCCAGAAGGACGGGGUUCAGAGAGUUUCCUGGUGGCUGGACAUGUGGGGUGCUGGAAGGGUGACAUGUGCCCCAUCCCCCAGGCCUUGUCCUGUGUGUCUCUUCUACCUGGCUGUUCCUGAGUUGGGUCCUUUUAUAAUAAAUUGAUUACCUGUAAGUAAAUUGUUUUCCUGAGUCCUAUAAACCAUACUAGCAAAUGAUCAAACUUGAGGAGGGGGUUGUGGGGACCUCUGAUUUACCCUCCAGUUGGAUGGGUGAGAGCCUGGAUCUGUAAUUGUUGUUUGAAGUGGGGGCAAUCUUGUGGGAUGUAGCCCUUCAUCUGUGGGACCUGUUGCUGUCUCCAGGUACACAGUGGCAGAAUUGAAUUCAAUUGUAGGACACUCAGCUGGUGUCCUUACAAAACUGGAGAAUUGCUUGGUGUAGGAACACUGCACACAUUUGGUCACAGAAACGUUCUGUGUUGAGUGAUAGUAUAAAGGCAAUGAUUUUUCCUAUACAAGAGGUAAAGAGAGUAAUGUCUAUGAUGGUGUCUGCUCCUGUCCCAGUGCCUGGGGAGGGCAGGUGAUUCCAACCCAGCAAAGUCCCAGGAGUGGAGGGAGUUGGAAGCCAAGACCCACAUCCCUGGAUUUACAGACCCUCUGGGGUGUGUCCCUAGCUUGCCACCCACAGCGCAUCCACAUCCUCACACAUGGGAAACCCUAGGAUACAGCUGAGCUCCACUCUGAUCCCCAGGGGCGUUGGAAGGUCAUCAGGGCCAGAUGGGUACAAACCACCCAACUCUGCCAGAUUCUCAGAUUCGACAGACGGGUACAACCCACCCAACUCUGCCAGAUUCUCAGACUCAACUGGUCUCUCGAAAUAAGGAUGUAACAACGUGGGGGCAGUGGCGUAGCUCCUAACUGGCUAUGGCACCGAAAAGCUGAUGAAACUGCCUUUGCGAAAAUUAUGACAGUGAUAGAAAUCUUACAUAGCUGAUCCAUCUUGCUUCUAACCUCAUAAGCUGUCAUCCCUGGACAUAGGCCAAGCUAGCUACAGGAGGAAGUUAGUUUCUAGUGUAACUUUAAAACAAAGAUGAUAACAGUCCCUUGCCAAAACUAACCACCCCCUCCGUUGUGGGGACUGAAACUGUCUUUGUAAAACUAACCAAUUGGCCACCAGGUUAGAAUUAUGGUUCAGGGGCGGGUGCAGUGGCUCAUGCCUGUAAU